UUUGUUGAAGAGCCGCAAAUCAACGAGAUUUGGAAGACGAAUGUCCCGAAUGUCCGGCAAGCGCUUACUUUCCGGAUCAAA
rnacentral:sRNA from 1 species